CAAUAGCGUAUAUUAAAGUUGUUGCGGUUAAAAGCUCGUAGUUGGAUUUCUGCCGAGGACGACCGGUCCGCCCUCUGGGUGAGUAUCUGGCUUGGCCUGGGCAUCUUCUUGGAGAACGUAGCUGCACUUGACUGUGUGGUGCGGUAUCCAGGACUUUUACUUUUGAGGAAAUUAGAGUGUUUCAAGCAGGCAUGCGCCUUGAAUACAUUAGCAUGGAAUAAUAAGAUAGGACCUCGGUUCUAUUUUGUUGGUUUCUAGAGCUGAGGUAAUGAUUAAUAGGGAUAGUUGGGGGCAUUAGUAUUUAAUUGUCAGAGGUGGAAUUCUCGGAUUUGUUAAAGACUAACUUAUGCGAAAGCAUUUGCCAAGGAUGUUUCAUUAAUCAAGAACGAAAGUUAGGGGAUCAAAGAUGAUUAGAU
rnacentral:rRNA from 1 species